GACGAACCGUGCGAACGUUAUUCGGAAUCACUGGGCUUAAAGCGCGUGUAGGCGGACCGGUACGUCCGGCGCUGAAAUCCCCCGGCUCAACCGGGGAACGGCGCGGAUACGACCGGUCUGGAGGGACGUAGGGGGACCUGGAACUUCCGGUGGAGCGGUGAAAUGCGUUGAGAUCGGAAGGAACGCCCGUGGCGAAAGCGGGUUGCUGGGCUGACACUGGACGCUGAUGCGCGAAAGCCAGGGGAGCGAACGGGAUAGAAACCCCU
rnacentral:rRNA from 1 species